CUGACAUUUCAGACAGUCCCCCUGCUGGCAGAUCCACAGCCAGCUAUAGGGGGCCAUGUGAUCGCUCUUUGAGAGCGAUCACAUGGCCCCUGGGGGCCUCAUUUGCCGGGGGAGGGCUGUCUGGGCUGUCAGGCAGCCCUCCAGAAGAGGAUCGCGGCGGAGGUAAGUCCACCGGACCUCCAGGGGCAGAAAGCCGUUACGGUGUUCUAUGCCGCCGCAACGGCUUUAAAGCCCUUUUAAUGCGGGACGGCAUAGAACGCCGUUACGGCGUUAAAGGG